UAGUGAGUUUGAUCCUGGCUCAGGACGAACGCUGGCGGCGUGCUUAACACAUGCAAGUCGAGCGGAAAGGCCACUUCGGUGGUACUCGAGCGGCGAACGGGUGAGUAACACGUGAGUAAUCUGCCCCUGGCUUUGGGAUAGCCACCGGAAACGGUGAUUAAUACCGGAUAUGACAUUCCCUCACAUGGGGGGUAUGGAAAGUUUUUCGGCCAGGGAUGUGCUCGCGGCCUAUCAGCUUGAUGGUGAGGUAAUGGCUCACCAUGGCGACGACGGGUAGCCGGCCUGAGAGGGUGACCGGCCACACUGGGGACUGAGACACGGCCCAGACUCCUACGGGAGCAGCAGUGGGGAAUAUUGCACAAUGGGGCGCAAGCCUGAUGCAGCGACGCCGCGUGAGGGAUGACGGCCUUCGGGUUGUUAAACCUCGUUUUUUACAGGGUAGGAAUCGAAAUGACGUGUACCUGAAGAUAAGCAUCGGCUAACUCCGUGCCAGCAGCCGCGGUAA
rnacentral:rRNA from 1 species